UACGUAGGGUGCAAGCGUUGUCCGGAAUUAUUGGGCGUAAAGAGCUCGUAGGCGGUCUGUCGCGUCUGCUGUGAAAACUCAGGGCUUAACCCUGAGCUUGCAGUGGGUACGGGCAGACUAGAGUGCGGUAGGGGAGACUGGAAUUCCUGGUGUAGCGGUGAAAUGCGCAGAUAUCAGGAGGAACACCGGUGGCGAAGGCGGGUCUCUGGGCAUUAACUGACGCUGAGGAGCGAAAGCCAGGGGAGCGAACGGG
rnacentral:rRNA from 1 species